AGUGAAUAGAUACCCUGGUAGUCCACGCCCUAAACGAUGUCGACUGGUUGUUGGGGGUUUGACACUCUCAGUAAACGAAAGCUAAACGCGUGAAGUCGACCGCCUGGGGAGUACGGCCGCAAGGUUAAAACUCAAAGGAAUUGACGGGGACCCGCACAAGCGGUGGAUUAUGUGGAUUAAUUCGAUGCAACGCGAAAAACCUUACCUACCCUUGACAUGUCCUGGACCCUGCUGAGAGGCGGGGGUGCCCGAAAGGGAACGGGAACACAGGUGCUGCAUGGCUGUCGUCAGCUCGUGUCGUGAGAUGUUGGGUUAAGUCCCGCAACGAGCGCAACCCUUGUCAUUAGUUGCUACAUUCAGUUGGGCACUCUAAUGAGACUGCCGGUGACAAACCGGAGGAAGGUGGGGAUGGCGUCAAGUCCUCAUGGCCCUUAUGGGUAGGGCUUCACACGUAAUACAAUGGCGCGUACAGAGGGUUGCCAAGCCGCGAGGUGGAGCCAAUCCCACAAAGCGCGUCGUAGUCC
rnacentral:rRNA from 1 species